AGCAGCCGCGGUAAUUCCAGCUCCAAUAGCGUAUAUUAAAGUUGUUGCAGUUAAAAAGCUCGUAGUUGAAUUUCGGGAUCAAUAUAUUGGUCAUGCUUAGGUAUGUACUGGUAUUAUUGAUUUCUCCCUUCUGAAGAACCAUAAUGUCAUUAAUUUGAUGUCAUGGGGAAUCAGGACUGUUACUUUGAAAAAAUUAGAGUGUUUAAAGCAGGCUUUCGCUUGAAUACAUUAGCAUGGAAUAAUGAAAUAGGACGUUUGAUUCUAUUUUGUUGGUUUCUAGGAUCGACGUAAUGAUUAAUAGGGAUAGUUGGGGGCAUUAGUAUUCAAUUGUCAGAGGUGAAAUUCUUGGAUUUAUUGAAGACUAACUACUGCGAAAGCAUUUGCCAAGGAUGUUUUCAUUAAUCAAGAACGAAAGUUAGGGGACCGAAGACGAUCAGAUACCGUCGUAGU
rnacentral:rRNA from 1 species